GCUCAGGAUGAACGCUGGCGGCGUGCUUAACACAUGCAAGUCGAACGGUGAACACGGAGCUUGCUCUGUGGGAUCAGUGGCGAACGGGUGAGUAACACGUGAGCAACCUGCCCCUGACUCUGGGAUAAGCGCUGGAAACGGCGUCUAAUACUGGAUAUGUGACGUGACCGCAUGGUCUGCGUUUGGAAAGAUUUUUCGGUUGGGGAGGGGCUCGCGGCCUAUCAGCUUGUUGGUGAGGUAAUGGCUCACCAAGGCGUCGACGGGUAGCCGGCCUGAGAGGGUGACCGGCCACACUGGGACUGAGACACGGCCCAGACUCCUACGGGAGGCAGCAGUGGGGAAUAUUGCACAAUGGGCGAAAGCCUGAUGCAGCAACGCCGCGUGAGGGAUGACGGCCUUCGGGUUGUAAACCUCUUUUAGCAGGGAAGAAGCGAAAGUGACGGUACCUGCAGAAAAAGCGCCGGCUAACUACGUGCCAGCAGCCGCGGUAAUACGUAGGGCGCAAGCGUUAUCCGGAAUUAUUGGGCGUAAAGAGCUCGUAGGCGGUUUGUCGCGUCUGCUGUGAAAUCCCGAGGCUCAACCUCGGGCCUGCAGUGGGUACGGGCAGACUAGAGUGCGGUAGGGGAGAUUGGAAUUCCUGGUGUAGCGGUGGAAUGCGCAGAUAUCAGGAGGAACACCGAUGGCGAAGGCAGAUCUCUGGGCCGUAACUGACGCUGAGGAGCGAAAGGGUGGGGAGCAAACAGGCUUAGAUACCCUGGUAGUCCACCCCGUAAACGUUGGGAACUAGUUGUGGGGUCCAUUCCACGGAUUCCGUGACGCAGCUAACGCAUUAAGUUCCCCGCCUGGGGAGUACGGCCGCAAGGCUAAAACUCAAAGGAAUUGACGGGGACCCGCACAAGCGGCGGAGCAUGCGGAUUAAUUCGAUGCAACGCGAAGAACCUUACCAAGGCUUGACAUAUACGAGAACGGGCCAGAAAUGGUCAACU
rnacentral:rRNA from 1 species